GGAGGUGAAGGCAAUCUGUCUGUGACAUUUAUCACCCCAUUGAUCACCAGGGUUGAUUCGGCUGAUCUGGCUGUCUUGCUGGGUGUCCCCUUCUUCCCUCACCACUCUAUCUGCAUCCCUCCUGAAGCUGUGUGCUUUGCAGAAGAGGACAGGCCUUCCCCAAAUAAAGACGGACCUAUAACCUUAGGUCUAA
rnacentral:snRNA from 1 species